rnacentral:tRNA from 1 species
GCCCUCGUAGCUCAGGGGUAGAGCACUCCAUUGGUAAUGGAGAGGUCGACAGUUCAAAUCUGUCCGAGGGCACCA